AUUGAACGCUGGCGGCAUGCCUUACACAUGCAAGUCGAACGGCAGCAUGAUCUAGCUUGCUAGAUUGAUGGCGAGUGGCGAACGGGUGAGUAAUACAUCGGAACGUGCCCUGUAGUGGGGGAUAACUAGUCGAAAGAUUAGCUAAUACCGCAUACGACCUGAGGGUGAAAGUGGGGGACCGCAAGGCCUCAUGCUAUAGGAGCGGCCGAUGUCUGAUUAGCUAGUUGGUGGGGUAAAGGCUCACCAAGGCGACGAUCAGUAGCUGGUCUGAGAGGACGAUCAGCCACACUGGGACUGAGACACGGCCCAGACUCCUACGGGAGGCAGCAGUGGGGAAUUUUGGACAAUGGGCGAAAGCCUGAUCCAGCAAUGCCGCGUGUGUGAAGAAGGCCUUCGGGUUGUAAAGCACUUUUGUCCGGAAAGAAAUGGCUCUGGUUAAUACCUGGGGUCGAUGACGGUACCGGAAGAAUAAGGACCGGCUAACUACGUG
rnacentral:rRNA from 1 species